rnacentral:rRNA from 11 species
CUCUACCUAGAGCAGGCCAAAGGCAUUGGAUAGCACUCGAUCUUGGAUGCUAAGCAGGGUCAGCCCUGGAUAGUAAUUGGAUGGGAGACCACCAACAAAAACCAGAUGUUGUGGGUU